CCCGCUGAACUUAAGCAUAUAACUAGGCGGAGGAAAAGAAACUAACCAGGAUUCCCUCAGUAACGGCGAGUGAAGCGGGAAGAGCUCAGACGUAAAAUCCGAUCAAAAGGAAAUGUCGUCUGGAGAUUGUGACUAUUUCGGCCUCAACAAAUCACGACGGGCCAAGUCUUCUGGAAAGAAGCGCCGAUGAGGGUGAUAGCCCCGUGUAUGCCUGUUGUUGAGAGGGGUCGAAUUGCGCUUUCUACGAGUCGAGUUGUUUGGGAUUGCAGCUCUAAGUGGGUGGUAAAUUCCAUCUAAAGCUAAAUAUUGGUGGGAGACCGAUAGCGAACAAGUACCGUGAGGGAAAGAUGCAAAGAACUUUGAAAAGAGAGUGAAAGAGUACCUGAAAUUGCUGAAAAGGAACCGAUGGGAGGCAGUGUUGUCUGUGCUUGUCCUCGGACGAGUCAGCAAGUUAGGCUUUUUUGGGAUUUUUGGUGCGAGAGGAGUUUUUGACCUGUAUGGGCUUAGACAAUCCAGCGCCAGCCCGAAAGACCUCUGACAAAAUGCCUCUUAUCAUCCCGUCUUGAAACACGG
rnacentral:rRNA from 1 species